GGGGUAAUAGCUCAGUGGUGGAGCACAUGCUUAGCAUGCACAAAGUCCUGGGUUCUAUUCCCAGGACUUCCA
rnacentral:tRNA from 1 species